UUUUGUAAUAAGCUCCGUUUAUCUGGUUUGGUUAAAUCGCUAUCGGUGUGGGUAGUGGCGGAAAGUUUAAUGACAAAAAUUUUGUUAUUCAUUGUGGCGGGAUGUUGGUAAUCCUCGUUAUAAAAUUAUAAGUUUGGCUCAUCGAUUUCUCGUUACUUGGGCAAAGUUGCGUUAGUCAGUUGGGGAAAAAUAAUUUGUUAAAAUUCUGUGUUGUGUUUUGAGAAUGCUAAGUAAAUGUUUACGCGCGUAGUUAGUGUGAAACCGAUAAUUUUUUGCAUGAGUGGGCGAAAUGGCAAUUAGAUCAUUUUAAAAUGGGUAAACAUAAUUUUAUGCAGUUGAAGAUGUCCGUGGGGAAUUAGCACAUUAUAUUCAAAGCAUAUGUUAAUUUUCAUUGGCCAUUGUUCCUCAUGUUAUGUUCGCAUGACGAAGAACGUGUAAAACAGUUCAGUUGUAGCUGGAAUUGUACGUGAGAGCGUGAAUGCACGUCGCAUUUUAUCAAACUAAUUAAGAUUACCGACCGGCUGCUCACAUGGCCCAUUUCGCUUCUUAUCAGUUACCAUCCUACAGAACAAAAUCAACCCAAUCGGCUUCGACAACUAAGCAACUACUCUAAAUAGGAGACUAACAGCAUCUUUCCACACUUUAUCUGCAUAACUGAUAUCGCGGUAUGGAAUUUUAGAACGCGCAUGCUUGCUGCCACCAACCCCAGUGCUAGAUUAGCUGUUGCAAUAUUUAACAGGCCAGGCAGGCAGGGUUGUAAGCUUCGCACCCCGGCACCUGAUAGCACCCCAUUGUAGCGAAGCUACUGACGCCAGAAUCGCAUUAUUUUUACUGCAACUCAAUAAACCUACAAACGAUUCA